UUAACUAUUAUAUAGUACUCAGACGACACUGAUAAACAGAGUUUGGGAGUCCGUUGGCGGGCACACUGGAGGACUCCAGGCGGCGGACCGCUACCCGCCAAGGCAACAUCUCGUUAUAAUACACAAGGGUGGGAGGUCUACCCGUGAGGGCACGAACUCUGUAAUGAUCCUUCCGCAGGUUCACCUACGGAAA
rnacentral:misc_RNA from 1 species